UACAUGGGGUGCAAACGUUGCUCGGAAUUAUUGGGCGUAAAGCGCGCGUAGGCGGUUACUCAAGUCGGAUGUGAAAGCCCUCGGCUUAACUGAGGAAGUGCACCCGAAACUGAGUAGCUAGAGUACUAAAGAGGGUCGCGGAAUUCCCGGUGUAGAGGUGAAAUUCGUAGAUAUCGGGAGGAACACCGGUGGCGAAGGCGGCGACCUGGGUAGAUACUGACGCUGAGGAGCGAAAGCGUGGGGAGCAAACAGG
rnacentral:rRNA from 1 species